rnacentral:SRP_RNA from 2 species
GCCGGGCGUGGUGGCUCACGCCUGUAAUCCCAGCACUUUGGGAGGCCAAGGCAGGUGGAUCACCUGAGGUCGGGAGUUUGAGACCAGCCUGACUGACAUGGUGAAACCCUGUCUUUA